rfam:Heterocephalus glaber contig208041, whole genome shotgun sequence.
UGGCGCCCAACGUGGGGCCCGAGAAAGGGGGAUCCAGUGAAGGACGCUGCUCAGGGGCCCUAAGAUUAAGAUUGAGGAACAAAGAGCACACUCGACACAGGAGAGGCUUGCAAUUGACGUAGACCUGCCGUCUUUUCGCACCUCGGUAAGUUGAACAGCGAUUAUGGGGCAGCGACACAGGAGAGGCUUGCAAUUGACGUAGACCUGCCGUCUUUUCGCACCUCGGUAAGUUGAACAGCGAUUAUGGGGCAGGGCAUUAGUCAGCACGAAUUGUUUGUGCAAGGUCUCAAGGAGACAUUACAGGCACGAGGGGUAAAGGUUACAGUCAAACAAUUGCUGAAAUUUUUUGAUUUUAUUAAACAUCUCUGUCCCU